rnacentral:rRNA from 1 species
UCUGGUUGAUCCCGGCGGAGGUUACUGCUAUCGAGGUUCGACUAAGCCAUGCGAGUCGAAUGUAGCAAUACAUGGCGUACUGCUCAGUAACACGUGGACAACCUACCCUUAGGUCGGGGAUAAACCCGGGAAACUGGGUAUAAUACCCGAUAGAUCUCGACUGCUGGAAUGCAUCGAGAUCGAAAGCUCCGGCGCCUAAGGAUGGGUCUGCGGCCUAUCAGGUAGUAGUGGGUGUAGCGUACCUACUAGCCUACGACGGGUACGGGUUGUGAGAGCAAGAGCCCGGAGAUGGAUUCUGAGACACGAAUCCAGGCCCUACGGGGUGCAGCAGGCGCGAAAACUUUACAAUGCUGGAAACAGCGAUAAGGGGACCUCGAGUGCCAGGUUACAAAUCUGGCUGUCGUGAUGCCUAAAAAGCAUUGCAUAGCAAGGGCCGGGCAAGACCGGUGCCAGCCGCCGCGGUAACACCGGCGGCUCGAGUGGUAACCGUUAUUAUUGGGUCUAAAGGGUCUGUAGCCGGCCGGAUAAGUCUCUUGGGAAAUCCAGCAGCUCAACUGUUGGGCUUUCAGGAGAUACUGUCUGGCUCGAGGCCGGGAGAGGUGAGAGGUACUUCAGGGGUAGGGGUGAAAUCUUGUAAUCCUUGAAGGACCACCAGUGGCGAAGGCGUCUCACCAGAACGGACCUGACGGCAAGGGACGAAAGCUAGGGGCACGAACCGGAUUAGAUACCCGGGUAGUCCUAGCCGUAAACGAUACUCGCUAGGUGUCGGCCACGGUGCGACCGUUGUCGGUGCCGUAGGGAAGCCGUGAAGCGAGCCACCUGGGAAGUACGGCCGCAAGGCUGAAACUUAAAGGAAUUGGCGGGGGAGCACCACAACGGGUGGAGCUUGCGGUUUAAUUGGAUUCAACGCCGGAAAUCUUACCGGGACCGACAGCAAUAUGAAGGCCAAGCUGAAGACUUUGCCGGAUUAGCUGAGAGGUGGUGCAUGGCCGUCGUCAGUUCGUACUGUGAAGCAUCCUGUUAAGUCAGGCAACGAGCGAGACCCA